rnacentral:lncRNA from 1 species
ACCAGGGGGUGCAUGCAUGGUAUUUGCAUGAUUUUUUGUUGUAGGUUUUUUUGCAUAGGUUUUUUUUCUAAAAUUAGUUUGCAAUAUUUAUACAAUAUUUUUUGCAUGAUUUGUAACAUAUUAUUUUUGCAUGAUUUGUAACACAUGUAUACAAUAUUUUUUCAACAUUGACAAAAUAUGAUGAUGACACAUGAUAUAGAAAGUUCACAUACCGACACCACAUUAAUUCAAAUUCAGGAGUUCAAAUUCACAUGCAAGUUCACAGGAGUUGACAUUCACAUGCAAGUUAACAGGAGUUCAAAUUCACAUCCAAGUUCACAGGAGUUCAAA